rnacentral:misc_RNA from 1 species
GCAAUUGAAGAGGAGGAUAGGGUAGUCGAAAAUGACGAGGGCUUACCUCCUGCGUUAUUGGGGAGCUGCAAUGAACGUGCAAAACAGCUUCAUGCUUCUCCUUCAGUCAGGGAGGUUGCUAACUGCGCUGAUAUGUGAAUAUUUGGAAUGGGCACAACUAAAUCAUACGCUUAAAGUUUAUCUUCCAGAGUGCAAUUUGCAAAAGGAU